rnacentral:rRNA from 1 species
CAGCGCCACAAGUGGGGGCCAUGUUUAUUGGGCCUAAAGCGUUCGUAGCAGGUUAGGUAAAUCUUUUGUGAAAUCGUUGGGCUCAACUUAACGGCGUGCAGAAGAGACUGCCAAACUAGAGACCGGGAGGAGUUAGAGGAAUUCCUGGGGGAGAGGUAAAAUUCUAUAAUCCCAGGAGGACCACCGGUGGCGAAGGCGUCUAACUAGAACGGGUCUGACUGUGAGGAACGAAAGCUAGGGGAGCAAACCGGAUUAGAUACCCGAGUAGUCC